AUGGAGGACUAUGAGGAGGAGCUGCACGGCGUGGAGGAUGACUUCCACAGCCAGUUCGCGGCAGAGCUCGAGGUGCUGGCCGAGCUAGAAGGGACGCCCUUCCUGUCGCCCUCCGAGGCCCCGCCGCCUGCUGCAGCCGGCCCCCGGCCAACGUUCGAGGAGGCCAUCGCUGGAGGGGAUGCCGCCAAUCGUCUCUGUCCCUCUGGUUCUUCAGGCAGCAGCAAUCGCGGUGCCAGAAAGCGGCAAGCGGAUUCCGGUGCCCCCAGCAAGGAGCCCCUGCCCUACAGUAUGUGCACAGGCAGGCCCUGUUUAAGGUGGGGGUGUGGUGGGAAGCUCUUGUUUCGAUCCCUCUGUUGUGUCUCUUCAGCCCCCAAGGUCAAGCGGUCCAAGCUGGAGGCGGUCAAGAGACUGAACUUUGGGCCAGAGAUGGAGGAGCUGCAGUAUCCUGAGUCCCCACCAAAGGACAUAACCCCCCCGCUGAGUCCUGAAGUCCCCACUGAGCUGUGGGGUUCUGGGUGCGUGGCUUAGGGCAGCCCUUUUCCUCCUGUCUGUCCAAAAGGGAUUUAGGAUUCUGUUUCUAGGAUGAGGCCCUGAGAGUGGGGGCCUGUGGGCGUGUCUGGUGGGCUGAGAGGGUGUCCAGGUACACCUUCACAGUGUGACAGGAGACACAAGUCCCUGAGUCUGAACCCUGUCCCUUCCCAGACCUCUGGAUGCUGCUGCAGAUGCAAGUCUUGCACAGGCCUUGCAUGGCACCCACAAUCCUGUCCUGAGGCGACCCCCUGUCUUGGAGGAUUACAUCAAUGUGACCUCCACAGGUGGUGACCGGGCCUUUCUGGUGCUCCGUCCUGACUCCACAGGCAAUGGAGUGCAGGUGGGUACUGCACAGCUACAAGUGUGGGGCUGGCUGUGGCCAUUGUAUAGGAUAGGCAGGUUGAUUCUGCCCAGGAAAGGGUCCGGACAUUAUGUCCACUGCAGGCCUCUUGACAGAUUUAUAGGCAGCUUUUGCCCGUUGGCUUGCUGGAAAUGCGGAUAUCCAUGUGGCCCAGGAACAGGAAAGCAAAGCUGCUGUGGGAGGGAC
rnacentral:lncRNA from 1 species